rnacentral:rRNA from 1 species
GAUGAACGCUAGCGGCAGGCUUAAUACAUGCAAUUCGUGGGGCAGCAUGUCCCGCAGCAAUGCGGGAUGAUGGCGACCGGCAAACGGGUGCGGAACACGUACACAACCUUCCUUUAAGUGGGGAAUAGCCUAGGGAAACUUGGAUUAAUACCCCGUAAUAUAUAGAAGCGGCAUCGCUUUUAUAUUAUAGCAGCAAUGCGCUUGAAGAUGGGUGUGCGGCUGAUUAGGUAGUUGGCGGGGUAAUGGCCCACCAAGCCGACGAUCAGUAACUGGUGUGAGAGCACGACCAGUCGCACGGGCAAUGAGACACGGGCCCGACUCCUACGGGAGGCAGCAGUAAGGAAUAUUGGUCAAUGGACGCAAGUCUGAACCAGCCAUGCCGCGUGGAGGAUGAAGGUCCUCUGGAUUGUAAACUUCUUUUAUCUGGGAAGAAAUCCAUUUUUUCUAAAAUGGUUGACGGUACCAGAUGAAUAAGCACCGGCUAACUCCGUGCCAGCCGCCGCCGUAAGAC